UAAAAUAUAUUAAUCAGUUUGACUUUUUUAAUCAAAUGUAAAGAUAAUUGUUUCGUAAAUAGAUUGAACGAGCACAAAUAUUAACUGUAAUUAUGGGCGUACCCAUCUAGCAACCUUUUAUGCUGGCUGUGAAAAAUUGGAUGUUAACGCCAGAAUUUUUCAGUUUGAAUUACGGAAAAUGUAAUUCCUGCCAAAAAGUCCAAGCAUAUAUAGUUAUAAAUGUAAUUUAGCUGGACAGCAUAUGGAAUUCACUGGCUACUGUUCUACUAAUAUAUUUUGAGGUUUACAAAAUUAAUAUAAGCCAUUUAUAAUAAUAUAUGCGGGCCCAAUUAAACAUCCCAGCGGCAUAUUUAAUAUCAAAUGCGCAUAAUAGCAUUUUUAUUCUCUGCUGUUUAAUAUCUAUUAAUGGUUAAGAAACUAGCAUUUGUGCCAGGUAUUAGGUCUGUAUUUUUUUUAGGCGAAGAGUUUGCGUGAAAAGUUAAAUGCCCCGGUUUUUGUAACAUCCAAUUCCCCAUUAGUCGAUUUUCCGUUGGCAGAUAAGACCGUUGGGCUCUGGUUUAUUGCAUUUUCGCUGGAAUAAAGUCGGAAAUUUGUAUGGCUAGAACCUUCGAGAAAACGUGCAUACAAACUUAAUUAAAUCUUCGUAAGACGAAUUAGUCCCUGUCCUUUUUUAUAAACUGGAGGUGCCGACAUAUAUGGCUUGGGGCGGUUAAGUUUAAAAGCAGUCGUCAGUCGUAAAAUUAAUACUUUUAAUAUCGAAUAUCCUGAAAAGUUUUGUAGGCAACAGCUUUUAAUAGGUAUUACCAAAGGGCAGGGAGUUUUAUUUUCCCGAAAGUCCAUAUUAACAUAUCGGUUAAAAUAACACCGCGUUGCUGCGCGUUAAUUCUUGUAACUUAUAUUCCAUCUUCUGACGCGCAACGAUAUACCACGUUCGUAUUCGCGUUAUAAUAGCUAAUUGCCGCUAAUCGCGGUUUUGAUAUUUUUUACAGCUGUUUUUAAAUUGAACAAUUCGAUCAUGGGGGCUGAAAUAAUAUAAAUUUUGGCGUGUAAAAAUAGUCGUUUUGCGUAAUAGCAGUACGUCCCAGGGGGAAGUUCGCAUAUAAUAGAUCCCAUUAACGAAGGUUGCCCUUUUGAGGACAGUAUUAUUUGAGAACCAACGAAAGUCGGGACGGCAACCUUUUCAAAUUAGUUAUACGCAUAUUCGCUGAAAGUGCAUGCCGAGGGCUUGCCAUAUAUUAGGAGCUUCGAAACCUUCCAUAACGACAAAACCCCUAAAGUUGUACCCGCCAACUUCCUUGCGACCGAUUUACAUUUUUCCUCAUAAUGUUCCCGAGCUCAAACUAUAUAUAUAAGGCUUUUUAAAAAUGAUAAAUAAUGCAACAAUAUCCAAUAAAUUAGGGGCCUCCAUUAAAGGAGAAAUUUGUAAGUUUAUAAUCUGUGCGGGUUUGCGCAAGGAUUAACCAUUAUUACCACCGGUAAUUGUCGUUAAACCUCUUAGGAGUAACAAUUGUAAUAAUAUAAGUGACCAGUAUUAACCAUCAGCCAAAAAAACGCCAAAACGUUAUAUGGAAGUUUUUUCCUAAAGGAUAUAAGAUUAAUAAGGCAGGCAAAAUAAAGGUUUACGCGAAUAUUGUGGAUGGGUAUAUGCGUUUUAUCCUUUAAAAGUUACAAGCCCCUAGACGGACUUUAUUAACACGCCCAGCGCGUUAUUCCGACAAUUGCGCUGGCGUAUAUUACACCCUGCCGCAGGCUAGCUAAUAUAAUUAUAUAACUCAUUUGCAAAUAUAUUGAAGGGAGGGGGGGUGUGGUGAUAAAAACGAUUAAUUGGAAGAGCCGCCAAAUCGCCUCCCCAUAUGUUUUUUCCAAGGCGUAUUUUUAUACAUUUACGCCGUUAUAUCUCUUUAUUCGAAGAUUAAUAGGGGGAAAUGGCCUUUUCCUGCCUUUUAAAAUGCGUUGGGUAGCUGCGCUGUUUUAAAUCUGUUUUUACUAAAUUAGAGGGCAUAUUAUCGAAUAGCGCAACGCAGUAUUUAUUAUUCCCCGUCCGUCUUUCGCAAUUUAUUGUGCAAAUAUUGUCGUUUUCCCUUGAUUAUUUACCACCCUCUCUACUAUAUCGUUAAACGACAGCCCCACGGAAAUUAAAAACACAUAUUAUGGACGGAUAUUCCGAAUUUGACGAAUGCGCAAUCGGCAAUGGUUCCGACUCGGAAAAUAAAAGUCUAACUCAAAACCUGCGUUUCGAACGGAAAUGUCAGAAAACAAAAUUAUAUUCCAGCAGGGCCUUAAAAGCGACGUUAUUAUUUAUUUUCGGGUUGAAAAAUAAGAUAUAUAUAGCAAAAAAACAAUUAAACGACCAACCUUCGAGUUUUUAUAAACGUUUAGGUUAUUAAACUUUGAAGAAAAUUAACAUUAAAAGCAGUAAAAGCAAGGGUUCGAGCGAUAAACCUAAAGGCGCUCUUUUAACAGAAACAAUACAAAACCAAAUUUUAAUUGAAUUUCCUAAUAACGUCCAAAAAGGAAUUUUAAACGAACGUUCCAAAAAUUUAUGGCCCGUAAGCACCAUACCAUGGCGAAAAUAUAUUUCGGAUAAUGGCCGCCAAAAUAAACGGUAUUUUGAGCAAGACGCGUUGGAAAAGAAAAGGGACGACUGGAAUAAAUUCCACGUCGAUUAUAACAGCGUUUGUUGGUAAAUAUUGGUUGCUGGUUAUAUCUUGCCCCGUUAUUAUUGCUGUUAUUAGUCCCGGUUAUAAUUGAAGGAAGCUCGACGCACGGGACUGCGCCGGAGGCGGGUCGGACUAUAAAACUUCCGGACACUUUCAGGGCUUUUCCUGCUGAGUACGCACGGGUGGAGGACAUUUUUAAAUAUAUUAAAUUUAAAAAAUUGGUGAUUAAAGCUCUUAGGUAUAUAUUUUAAAAUACGUAAACAAACCGGACGAUUCGGCACCGCUUUAUUAGUUGGCUUUGUUUUCCUUUUCGUUCGAAACAAUUAUAGUGGUUCGGAGUCGUUACGAGCGUUGUCUAGGUUUUUGUUAAUAAUCUGCCAACCAAAAAAUGACGAAAUGUACGAGGGUUAAUGGUUAUUUUGUGCAUCGUCGUUUUUAGGCACGAAAAAAUAAUUUGUCCACAUUUCUGCAGUCCUGCCAGCCAAUAUCUGGCUAUUGAGGCGCUUUUGUUAUGGCGGAGGGGGUGAGAGUAUUUUGGUUUUGUUCAAAAUAAAAACCCAACAAGGACAAUUAUGGUGGUUCUUAUAACCAGUUUUUUAAUUAUCCUCAAAAUUAAAAGAAACCCAAAUAAACGUUUCCCAUUUUAAUAUUAUAACGCAUUAUAUAUUCCAUUAAUUUUGCCACAGAUCUUUACAAGUUUAAUUCAGCUGUAAAGAUGUAUUAAUAAUCUCGAAAUGUUCAAGCUUCCAUAAGUUUCCGUCAGGGCACAAAAUAAAGGAGGUUUUUUAUAACGCAGCUGCUAUAGCCGAAUUAUAGCGCAGAUGCAGCGCACUACAAUAUAAGGAAAACUGUUUAAACAGGCUAUUUCCAUUUCGAAGCAGAUGCAGCUUUUUCCAAUAUUUUCCAUGAGCCGGCCGCGGGCAAAGGCCUCUUUGACGAACGUUUUGCCGGAGAGAUGGUUAGUUAUUUCUAUGUCGCCGAGAAAAACUCAGCUGCUGGUCGUGUUAGCUGCAUAAAUUUAAGGCAUUUUUUGGUUAAAUAAAAUACAGGCUACCCCUCCUUGAGUUCCCGCAUAUUUUACCGUUUUCGAAUAUCGCUUUUAUAACGUAGAAACCGCAAGUGAAAAAACGUGCAAAAGGUUGUGGCGGGUACGGUUGGUCCUGACAAUUUGGGGGUUUUCUCAGGAGACACGGUGCAGGUUAUAUUAAAGGGUAGCUUGUGGGACACCGUAUAUAAUAAUUUGGAACGUGCGCAGGGUAAACUAGGUAAGUUAGCCAGAGAAGUUAGUGAAGUAUUUUCCUGUUGCAUGUUAGCUGGGGAUUUAUAACAGGGACCACGUUUUCCAGCUUGCGCGAAAAUAAAAGGUUCGGAAAAUAUGGCAAAUUCCACAAAACCAUUUUGGAAUUUGUUUAAUUAUAUAAUAUUAAACCAGUAAUAUAUUAGGAAUGCCGGUAAAGAUCCCUUUUAUUCCAAUUAAUUUUCUUUAUCACUUUUAUCCGCCUGCAGGUAAAUGUUAUUUCCUUUGGUUAAUUGGAUCAAUGGUAAUAUAAACACCCAACCAUUUAGCGGUAACACGGUAAAAAGGGGAACCGUAACCCCUUUGCUCGGUCCAUCCUAUAUAUAGCCAGUUUGUGAAAUAUUGGUAAGGGAACCAGAACUAAAUUAUAUAACGCAAAAAUCUCGACCGCAUUAAUUCCUUAUUAUAUCCCUGCAGCACUGAAAGCUGUUUUUAAUAUUAAAUACGGCGUAUUUUGUUACAGAAUAAUAAUUUUUACAUAUAUUAUUUCGGCAAUUAAAAAAUCUAGGCUUUUAAUAUUUAAAAUACCCGCAAUUCUUAUUAAUAGUUUAGGUUAAUAAUUGGAAUUUAAUAGCGUAGUAUAAAAUAGCAAUCAAGUUGAAAAAAUAUACCUAAAAGGCGUUUCGCAAUACCGGUAUAUUUUUGGCGGGAUUCGAUUAUAGUAUGUAAACCGUUGCUAAAUUUCCCGUAAAUAAAAGUCAAAAUUACAGGCCCAGUCUUAUUUUCACCAUUGAUAAUAUUUUGACACAAGUUCUAGUUUUAAAUACAAAUAU
rnacentral:sRNA from 1 species